rnacentral:misc_RNA from 1 species
UUGGUUAUGUUUCAUUUACAUUUAGUCUCUCCUUUCGGAUUGACAUUAUUGUAAGUUCAAUAAUCAAUACUGUGUUUUUUAUUCACCGCACAAUUUGACUUGUGGGAUUAUAAAAGAAUGGGGUUUGGGUAUAAAUUGAAAAAGAAAUACAGAAACUUUUUAACAUUUCAUAUAUUUCUCCCUCAAAAGAUUGGUACGCGGGACACAAAAGAGAUGGCUCUUGCGAACCAAAUCCAAUGUUUUUUGUUUUUUUAGGGUGUGGUAAUGAUCCUUCCGCAGGUUCACCUACGGAAA